CAGUAGCCGCGGGAAUACGGAGGGUGCAAGCGUUAAUCGGAAUUACUGGGCGUAAAGCGUACGCAGGCGGUUUGUUAAGUCAGAUGUGAAAUCCCCGAGCUUAACUCGGGAACUGCAUUUGAAACUGGCAGGCUAGAGUCUCGUAGAGGGGGGUAGAAUUCCAGGUGUAGCGGUGAAAUGCGUAGAGAUCUGGAGGAAUACCGGUGGCGAAGGCGGCCCCCUGGGCGAAGACUGACGCUCAGGUACGAAAGCGUGGGGAGCAAACAGGAUUAGAUACCCCUGUAGUCCCUGUCUCUUAUAC
rnacentral:rRNA from 1 species